CCUACGGGAGGCUGCAGUGGGGGAUAUUGCACAAUGGGGGAAACCCUGAUGCAGCGACGCCGCGUGUGGGAAGACGGUCCUCUGGAUUGUAAACCACUGUCCCCAGGGACGAAGAUGACGGUACCUUGGAAGGAAGCUCCGGCUAACUACAUGCUAGCAGCCGCGGUAAUACGUAGGGAGCGAGCGUUGUCCGGAAUUACUGGGUGUAAAGGGAGCGUAGGCGGGGAGACACGUUGGGUGUAAAAACUACCGGCUAAACUGGUAGACGCACGUAAAACUGCAGCUCUUGAGUGAAGUAGAGGCAGGCGGAAUUCCUAGUGGAGCGGUGAAAUGCGUAGAUAUUAGGAGGAACACCAGUGGCGAAGGCGGCCUGCUGGGCUUUUACUGACGCUGAGGCUCGAAAGUGUGGGGAGCAAACAGGAUUAGAUACCCUUGUAGUC
rnacentral:rRNA from 1 species